rnacentral:rRNA from 1 species
GAAAAGAAACUAACAAGGAUUCCCCUAGUAACGGCGAGUGAAGCGGGAAGAGCUCAAAUUGAAAAUCGGUGUCGCAUGAUUUGUGCAUCGAGUUGUAGUGUAUAGAAGCGCGACCAGCGCGGACCUGCGGAGAAUUUGGCUGGAAGGCCGAGUCAUAGAGGGUGAUAACCCCGUCUGUGCCGUGGGAAGCCGUGCGUACGGUACGUUUUCGACGAGUCGAGUUGCUUGGGAAUGCAGCUCUAAGUGGGUGGUAAAUUCCAUCUAAAGCUAAAUAUAGGCAGUA